GUCCACGCCGUAAACGUUGGGAACUAGGUGUUGGCGACAUUCCACGUCGUCGGUGCCGCAGCUAACGCAUUAAGUUCCCCGCCUGGGGAGUACGGCCGCAAGGCUAAAACUCAAAGGAAUUGACGGGGCCCGCACAAGCAGCGGAGCAUGUGGCUUAAUUCGACGCAACGCGAAGAACCUUACCAAGGCUUGACAUAUGCCGGAAACACCUGGAGACAGGUGCCCCCUUGUGGUCGGUAUACAGGUGGUGCAUGGUUGUCGU
rnacentral:rRNA from 1 species